GCACUCGUAGCUCAGCUGGAUAGAGCGCUGCCCUCCGAAGGCAGAGGUCAGAGGUUCGAAUCCUCUCGAGUGCGCCA
rnacentral:tRNA from 2 species